rnacentral:rRNA from 1 species
AACGAACGCUGGCGGCAGGCCUAACACAUGCAAGUCGAGCGCGCCUUCGGGUGAGCGGCGGACGGGUGAGUAACGCGUGGGAAUAUGCUCUUCUCUACGGAAUAGUCCUGGGAAACUGGGGGUAAUACCGUAUACGCCCUUUGGGGGUAAGAUUUAUCGGGGAAGGAUUAGCCCGCGUUGGAUUAGGUAGUUGGUGGGGUAAUGGCCUACCAAGCCGACGAUCCAUAGCUGGUUUGAGAGGAUGAUCAGCCACACUGGGACUGAGACACGGCCCAGACUCCUACGAGAGGCAGCAGUGGGGAAUCUGAGACAAUGGGGGCAACCCUAAGCUAGCCAUGCCGCGUGAGUGAUGAAGGCCUUAGGGUUGUAAAGCGCUUUCAGCUGGGAAGAUAAUGACGGUACCAGCAGAAGAAGCCCCGGCUAACUCCGU